GGGGAUUAAGGAGCUUCGCUCUUGAUGAAGUUAGCGGGCGGACGGGUGAGUAACACGUGGGUAACCUGCCCAUAAGACUGGGAUAACUCCGGGAAACCGGGGCUAAUACCGGAUAACAUUUUGAACCGCAUGGUUCGAAAUUGAAAGGCGGCUUCGGCUGUCACUUAUGGAUGGACCCGCGUCGCAUUAGCUAGUUGGUGAGGUAACGGCUCACCAAGGCAACGAUGCGUAGCCGACCUGAGAGGGUGAUCGGCCACACUGGGACUGAGACACGGCCCAGACUCCUACGGGAGGCAGCAGUAGGGAAUCUUCCGCAAUGGACGAAAGUCUGACGGAGCAACGCCGCGUGAGUGAUGAAGGCUUUCGGGUCGUAAAACUCUGUUGUUAGG
rnacentral:rRNA from 1 species